rnacentral:rRNA from 1 species
UACGUAGGGUCCGAGCGUUGUCCGGAAUUAUUGGGCGUAAAGGGCUCGUAGGCGGUUCGUCACGUCGGGAGUGAAAACGUCGGGCUGGACCCUGACCGACCUGCUUCCGAUACGGGCAGACUAGAGGUAGGCAGGGGAGAGCGGAACUCCUGGUGUAGCGGUGAAAUGCGCAGAUAUCAGGAGGAACACCGGUGGCGAAGGCGGAUCUCUGGGCCUGUUCUGACGCUGAGGCGCGAAAGCUAGGGGAGCGAACAGG